rnacentral:rRNA from 1 species
GAUGAACGCUAGCGGCAGGCUUAAUACAUGCAAGUCGAGGGGCAGCAGUCCCGCAGCAAUGCGGGAGCUGGCGACCGGCAAACGGGUGCGGAACACGUACAGAACCUUCCUUCGAGCGGGGAAUAGCCCAGAGAAAUUUGGAUUAAUACCCCAUAGCAUUACGAAGUGGCAUCACUUUGUAAUUAAAGAUUUAUCACUCGAAGAUGGCUGUGCGGCUGAUUAGGUAGUUGGCGGAGUAACGGCCCACCAAGCCUUCGAUCAGUAACUGGUGUGAGAGCACGACCAGUCACACGGGCACUGAGACACGGGCCCGACUCCUACGGGAGGCAGCAGUAAGGAAUAUUGGUCAAUGGACGAAAGUCUGAACCAGCCAUGCCGCGUGGAGGAUGAAGGUCCUCUGGAUUG